GGUUGUAGCUCAGUGGUGGAGCGAUUGCCUAGCAUGUGUGAAGUACUGGGUUCAAUCCUCAGCACCA
rnacentral:tRNA from 1 species